rnacentral:rRNA from 1 species
UGGGGAAUCUUAGACAAUGGGCGCAAGCCUGAUCUAGCGAUGCCGCGUGAGUGAUGAAGGUCUUAGGAUCGUAAAGCUCUUUCGCCAGGGAUGAUAAUGACAGUACCUGGUAAAGAAACCCCGGCUAACUCCGUGCCAGCAGCCGCGGUAAUACGGAGGGGGUUAGCGUUGUUCGGAAUUACUGGGCGUAAAGCGCACGUAGGCGGACUAUUAAGUCGGGGGUGAAAUCCCGGGGCUCAACCCCGGAACUGCCUCCGAUACUGAUAGCCUAGAGUUCGAGAGAGGUGAGUGGAAUUCCGAGUGUAGAGGUGAAAUUCGUAGAUAUUCGGAGGAACACCAGUGGCGAAGGCGGCUCACUGGCUCGAUACUGACGCUGAGGUGCGAAAGCGUGGGGAGCAAACA